UACAGAGGGGGCAAGCGUUGUUCGGAAUUACUGGGCGUAAAGGGCGCGUAGGCGGCCUUCUAAGUCGAACGUGAAAUCCCCGGGCUCAACCCGGGAACUGCGUCCGAUACUGGAAGGCUUGAAUCCGGGAGAGGGAUGCGGAAUUCCAGGUGUAGCGGUGAAAUGCGUAGAUAUCAGGAGGAACACCGGUGGUGUAAACGGCUUUCUGGACCGUAACUGACGCUGAGGCACGAAAGCGUGGGGAGCAAACAGG
rnacentral:rRNA from 1 species